GAUAGAACCAGUGUUUGAUCUCACCACGAUGGUCAGGAGAGCAAUCGUAGACUGAGGCCAUGCUGUCAAUAUCCUGAUCUUCUCAGGAACAAAGGUGAUGGUGAGGGUCAAACACAGUUCACUACUGACCUACCAAGACUUUCUGUGUUGAAGAUGAUCUCUCAGAGAUCAUGGAGAGACCGAGAGACCAGCUGUGUUGGAAACAG